rnacentral:rRNA from 1 species
CAGCAGCCGCGGUAAUACAGAGGGUGCGAGCGUUAAUCGGAUUUACUGGGCGUAAAGCGUGCGUAGGCGGCUUCUUAAGUCGGAUGUGAAAUCCCUGAGCUUAACUUAGGAAUUGCAUUCGAUUCUGGGAAGCUAGAGUAUGGGAGAGGAUGGUAGAAUUCCAGGUGUAGCGGUGAAAUGCGUAGAGAUCUGGAGGAAUACCGAUGGCGAAGGCAGCCAUCUGGCCUAAUACUGACGCUGAGGUACGAAAGCAUGGGGAGCAAACAGGAUUAGAUACCCCUGUAGUCCCUGUCUCUUAUAC